rnacentral:rRNA from 1 species
UGAGGAAUAUUGGGCAAUGCCCGAAAGGGUGACCCAGCAACGCCGCGUGGAGGAUGAAGGCCGUAAGAUUGUAAACUCCUGUUAGAGGGGAAGAAUAACUAAGUUUGGAGCUUAGUAUGACUGUACCCUCAGAGAAAGCCCCGGCUAACUACGUGCCAGCAGCCGCGGUAAUACGUAGGGGGCAAGCGUUGUCCGGAUUUACUGGGUGUAAAGGGCGCGCAGGCGGAAUGGAAAGUCAGUGGUGAAAUCCUACAGCUUAACUGUAGAAACUGCCUUUUGAUACUUUUCAUUCUUGAGUUUCGGGGAGAGAGAGACGGAAUUCCAGGUGUAGUGGUGAAAUACGUAGAUAUCUGGAAGAACACCAGUUGCGAAGGCGGUCUCUUGGUCCGAUACUGACGCUGAGGCGCGAAAGGCUGGGGAGCAAACAGGAUUAGAAACCCCGGUAG